GGCCUGUUAAGUCAGAUGUAGAAACGGCCCGGGGACUUUAACCGUACGGUAAGUUGCUAUUUAGUAAACGUGGCGAGGCUAGAGUCUUGUAGAGGGGGGUAGGAAUUUCAGGUGUAGCGGUGAAAUGCGUAGAGAUCUGAAGGAAUACCAGUGGCGAAGGCGGCCCCCUGGACAAAGACUGACGCUCAGAUGCGAAAGCGUGGGGAGCAAACAGGAUUAGAUACCCUGGUAG
rnacentral:rRNA from 1 species